AUGGUACCUAAUUCAGUUGAGGAUGAGAAUGCAGAUGCUCAAACAAGGAAGAAACCUAAUACGUAUGCAAGCUUCUUGGAGGAUGCAAACACAGAGUUAUACCCUGGAUGUAAAGCAUUUUCUAAGUUGUCAUUUCUCAUCACCUUGUAUCACAUGAAAUGCUUACAUGGAUGGUCACAAGAAUCAUUUACAACGCUACUUGGUGUUUUGUCUGAUGCACUUCCACAGGCACAACUACCAAAGAAGUACUAUGAGGUACAACAAAUCAUCCGUGGCUUAGGCCUUGACUACGAGAAAAUUCAUGCAUGCCCCAAUGAUUGCAUG
rnacentral:rRNA from 1 species